rnacentral:rRNA from 1 species
GCACUUGAAGUCAGCCAUGCUGCUUGAGACUCAGCCUGGCUUUUGCUUGGUGUAUUUCUCGGUAGCAAGCCAGCAUUGGUUUGUGUCGUCGGAGAAGCGCAUGGGGAAUGUGGCAUCCUCGGAUGUGUUAUAGCCCUGUGCAGGAUACGACGACGUAGACCAAGGAACGCAGUGUGCCCUCUGGGCGGGUCUUCGGACACCUUCACACUUAGGAUGCUGGCGUAAUGGCUUUAAGUGGCCCGUCUUGAAACACGGACCAAG